UGAAUGUUCUUUAAUCUCUUUAUUUGACCUCUUAAAAAAACACUCUAUUUGAAAAAAAAAAGUGAUUCAUAUUAACAGUUUGAAGUUUCUAAUGUUUUUUCCUGUCUGUUUUUAAUGCAGCAUAUUCUUUUUAGACAUGAAUUUCUUGAAAGAACUGAUUAAGCACACACCACCAACCAAGCACCAACUUCAAAUUAUAAACAGCAGGGUAAUCUUGUAAGGCCAAAAAGGCCUCAAAGAGAAGCCAAAAGAAAGGUCAUCCCUAAUGAUUUUAUGGACACAAGUUAGUUGAAUUGAAGCUCUUGUCUUACAAAGUUUCAACAAAAUGGACAAGAGAAAUGGUUGAUUUUGUUACCACUCUACCCCAUGAUUGUCUCCUUAUAAACACAAACAUGAACUCUGCUUGUUUUUUAGUGGUUGGUUAGCAUUGCCAGGAAAAUUUUACGAAGAUAUUCCAAAACAAUAUUGGGAUUCAUGUGGUAGCCCCUAUAAUUGGGGAGUUCUCUUUGAAUGAAAAACAAUAUGGAACAAAUAUUGUGAUAUGGAACAAAUAAUAUUGUGAGAAGCUUCAUCCAUGGUGCAUUAUCAUUGGUCAUUAGUUAGAGCGUUUUGGAAUUAUAUAAUAAUAGUGUGAUAAGCAAAGAUAGAGGAAGGAAACAAGUACUAUCAUGCCAAAACUUUGUCACAAACUGCACACUCUCAUAGACAUCAAGUUUAUUAUAUACUAGAUUAUAUCUUUCUAGAAGGAACUUUGGGUUUGAAUUAAGUAAUUUAAUUGUCAUUUUUUUUUGUAUAACAAAAAAGAGUACAAAAACAACAUGUGACUGACCAAGAUAUUUCAACUAUGUAGUUAUGCAUGUGACGCAUUCACAAAGUCUAGAUCUUCAAAUUAAUAUCGGACAGUUCAUAUUACAUGACUUUGAAAAAAUAGUCUAAAAUACAAAUUGAA
rnacentral:lncRNA from 1 species